rnacentral:rRNA from 1 species
UACGUAGGUGGCGAGCGUUGUCCGGAUUUAUUGGGCGUAAAGCGCGCGCAGGUGGUGCGGUAAGUCUGUCGUGAAAUCUCCUGGCUCAACUGGGAGGGUGCGGUGGAGACUGCCGGACUGGAGGCACUCAGAGGCCGGUGGAAUUCCCGGUGUAGUGGUGAAAUGCGUAGAGAUCGGGAGGAACACCAGUGGCGAAGGCGGCCGGCUGGGUGACCUGACGCUGAGGCGCGAAAGCGUGGGAGCGAACCGG